UACGUAGGGUGCAAGCGUUAUCCGGAAUUAUUGGGCGUAAAGAGCUCGUAGGCGGUUUGUCGCGUCUGCUGUGAAAACUGGAGGCUCAACCUCCAGCCUGCAGUGGGUACGGACAAACUAGAGUGCGGUAGGGGAGAUUGGAAUUCCUGGUGUAGCGGUGGAAUGCGCAGAUAUCAGGAGGAACACCGAUGGCGAAGGCAGAUCUCUGGGCCGUAACUGACGCUGAGGAGCGAAAGCAUGGGGAGCGAACAGG
rnacentral:rRNA from 1 species